rnacentral:tRNA from 1 species
UUCUAAGGAUGACCCUAGCUUUUGACUGGGUUACCAAAGCGCUCAAGUAGCGAAGCGGUAGCGCAUCAAACAUGGAUCACUUAGCAUAAGAUCAGUAAUCAAAACUGAUCACAUCCGGACCAGGCCGUCCUCAUAUCUCUUCAGAACUGUCAUGAUCUUGCCUUGAGGCAGGAUCUAGCAAGGGGCCUUAGCUCAGCUGGGAGAGCGCCUGAUUUGCAUUCAGGAGGUCAGGAGUUCGAUCCUCCUAGGCUCCACCACUCAUGCGAACGGCCCACAUAGAAUGGGUCGGUAGCUCAGGUGGUUAGAGCGCACGCCUGAUAAGCGUGAGGUCGGAGGUUCAAGUCCUCCUCGACCCACCAUUCUGCAAGAGACGAUUUGAUCGUUAAGCAUCCUGAGAUGUUUAACCGUCCAAUCGGACCGGAUCGAUGUUCCUUCGGGAAGGUUGAUCACAUUGACAUCGUUUAGAGAGAUACAAUCAACAACACUGUUGGUCACCCGCGUAAGGGAUCGACCUCAGUUUGGUGCUGAAGACCACUUAUGUGGCCUGAUGCGAGCCUUUGCAUCCGCCCUUUUCCUCGGGCGCGCGAGGGUCUGCCGGAUUGAAACCACAGUGUUGUCCAAGUCAAGUACACUAACCCGGUUCAUAUUCCGCAAGGUUUAUGAACCAAUGUUCACUUCUAUGAAGUGAGCGGGAAAGUAUGCUUUUGGUUCAGAAUAAGGCCACAGUUUCUUACCAGCUUCUGUGGCGUGACAGUUCACUGUCUUUUUCUGG